rnacentral:rRNA from 1 species
UACGUAGGGCGCAAGCGUUGUCCGGAAUUAUUGGGCGUAAAGAGCUCGUAGGCGGUUUGUUGCGUCGGCUGUGAAAACCUGAGGCUCAACCUCAGGCCUGCAGUCGAUACGAGCAGACUAGAGUGUUGCAGGGGAGACUGGAAUUCCUGGUGUAGCGGUGAAAUGCGCAGAUAUCGGGAAGAACACCCGUGGCGAAGGCGGCCAUCUGGACCAGUACUGACGCUGAGGCACGAAAGCGUGGGGAGCAAACAGG